ensembl:snoRNA SNORA74 Small nucleolar RNA SNORA74
UCCAGCAGUAGUCAACUGUCCAGGCUAUUAUGAUGCCUGUGGUGGUGUUACACUGUUGGAAGAGCAAGUACUGUCUUUAUAGAGGUUUGGCUAUAAGCACUGUUUUGGUGUGACAGCCAAGAACCUUUGGGCAGUGUUUUGCACCUCUGAGAGUGGAGUAAUUCCUCCUGUGGAGUUGAUCCUAGUCUGGGUGCAAACAGU